UAGGGAAUCUUCCGCAAUGGACGCAAGUCUGACGGAGCAACGCCGCGUGAGUGAAGAAGGAUUUCGGUUCGUAAAACUCUGUUGUUAGAGAAGAACAGCGCAUAGAGUAACUGUUAUGCGUGUGACGGUAUCUAACCAGAAAGCCACGGCUAACUACGUGCCAGCAGCCGCGGUAAUACGUAGGUGGCAAGCGUUGUCCGGAUUUAUUGGGCGUAAAGCGAGCGCAGGCGGUCAAUUAAGUCUGAUGUGAAAGCCCCCGGCUCAACCGGGGGGGGUCAUUGGAAACUGGUUGACUUGAGUGCAGAAGAGGAGAGUGGAAUUCCAUGUGUAGCGGUGAAAUGCGUAGAUAUAUGGAGAAACACCAGUGGCGAAGGCGACUCUCUGGUCUGUAACUGACGCUGAGGCUCGAAAGCGUGGGUAGCAAACAGG
rnacentral:rRNA from 1 species